rnacentral:misc_RNA from 1 species
CGCAAAUGGCACUCUAUGGUAUUCCGUAGAGUACGUCUGUUUGAGCGUCGCGAACAUCUCCAUAAUUAGUUUUUCUAAUUAAGGGUUUUGAGGUUGUCAUUGUAUUAUGACUCCCUUUAAAAUAAUUAGUGAUGACCUUAUGAAUGGGUUAAUACUGUGUGUUAUAAUGGAUUACAUCCAUCACCAGUCAGAGAGUAAUCUCGCCUUAGUAAUUUGUAGUGAUUGCUUCUAAUCGCCUUUAUUGGCAAAUUAAAUGAUCAAAUCGACCUCAAAUCAGAUGGGAUUACCCGCUGAACUUAA